CCGUGACGUCACGCUCUCAGAACUCCGCCCACUCCGCCAUGACGGACGUCAAAACAACCGACGCUUCCUUUGAAGCUGGUCUAAAAACAGAAAUCUGUAGCCUAAUAUCGCUCCCAUUUAGGUGAUUUCUCUUCAGAGAUGGUCAUAGAGUGCUGCAUGGUCGGCUGCAGAAAAACAAGGAUGCAAACCAAACUUAUUUUAUUUUAUAAUUUUAAUGAGGAAAGAUGCGUCGGCAUAGCAGGGCGUUAAUUAUAAUGACUGUCAGCCUUCGAUGUAACGCGGAUUUCCAGCCAACACGUUUUAAAAGGCAACAUGAGCUGAAGCAAAGGUGUAGUUCUGCUUCUGCAGCAUCAGAUAAACUUGUGAGGAUAUCUGAUAAAGAAGCAUAGUUGGUUUUCAGCAAAGAACCUUUAAUCCCACCUACCUCAAAACGGCUGCUUAAAUGUCAGGUUUGCUUGACACUCCUGCACCAAACAACCUUAUUUUCUUUUCUCUCUCAAUGGAAGAUUGAAGAUCAUGUGUGUGGGAAUCAGUAUCGGGACAUUUUGCUAUAGAUACCAUUUUGUAAGUCACCUGAAACUCCUCCUUUUCUCACUCUCUCUUUGCUCAAGCCUUGGCAUUAAAAUAUUUUGAGAAAACUAAUGGACUGGAAAAGAACAUCAUUUGAGGUAAAGCAGAGAAAAAUAUGGGAGAAACUCAUCAACUGUUCAGAUAAGAAAUCACUGGUUGAGAAAACAUGUUAUUUCUGGAAUCACAAGCAUACUCUUUAUUGUUAAAUAAAGUUUAAAUAACCUUGAAAUCAG